GACGAACGCUGGCGGCGCGCUUAACACAUGCAAGUCGAACGGAAAGGCCUGCUUUCCCUUGUGGUUUGCGGGUACUCGAGUGGCGAACGGGUGAGUAACACGUGAGUGAUCUGCCCCCAACUUGGGUAUAAGCCUGGGAAACUGUGUCUAAUUCCCGAUAGGACUGCAGGGUGGUGCGGGUGUUGGGAACCGAUUUUCUAGUGGUUGGGGAUGAGCCCGAGGCCUAUCAGCUUGUUGGUGGGGCAAAGGCCUGCCAAGACGGGGACGGGUAGCCGGCCUGAGAGGGGGGACGGUGGAAUUGAGACUCGGUUCAGGCCCCGACGGGUAGGGGAGGCGGCGGAGGGGAAUAUAGGGCAAUGGGCGGAAGCCAGACGCAGCGAGUCCGCGAGGGAGAUGACGGGCUUCGGGUUGUAAACUGCUGGCGAACGAGAGGAAGACACCUGGGUGGAAGGGUGGUGACGGUAGUGGUAGAAGAAGCACCGGCUAACUACGUG
rnacentral:rRNA from 1 species